rnacentral:rRNA from 1 species
GCUCGUAGUUGAAAUUCGAGUCUAUUGCUGUCUGGCUUCAGUCAGGCUGCUAAUAGGCUCUCCGUCUACAACCCCUUUCGAGCUCUCACGGGUUUCACUGGGUGAGUAGGCAAUUUACCUUGAAAAAAUUAGAGUGUUCAAAGCAGGCCUUGCUGGAAUACAUUAGCAUGGAAUAAUGGAAUAGGAUUUUUGCCCUUUGUUGGUUUUAGGACAGAAAUAAUGAUUAAUAGGGACAGUGGGUGGUAUUAGUAUUUAAUUGUCAGAGGUGAAAUUCUUGGAUUUAUUAAAGACUAACUUAUGCGAAAGCAUUUACCAAUGAUGUUUU